UACAGAGGUCUCAAGCGUUGUUCGGAUUCAUUGGGCGUAAAGGGUGUGUAGGUGGCGCGCUAAGUCGGGUGUGAAAUUUCGGAGCUUAACUCCGAAACUGCAUUCGAUACUGGCGUGCUUGAGGACUGGAGAGGAGACUGGAAUUCAUGGUGUAGCAGUGAAAUGCGUAGAGAUCAUGAGGAAGACCAGUGGCGAAGGCGGGUCUCUGGGAAGUAACUGACGCUGAGAAGCGAAAGCAUGGGUAGCAAACAGG
rnacentral:rRNA from 1 species